CCCUUUUAAACAAAACCAUGACCAAACCCUAACAUAUUCACCAAGCCCUAACAUAUUCUACUCUCAUCUCUCUCUUCCUCUCUCUGCUAGUAGCCAUGGAUGCCGUCGACCGCCACUUCUUCCACCACAGGCGCAACCAUAGACGGAGAAGCCUCCCCUCUCCCUAUACCCUUCUUUUCUCUCUCUUCAUUUCCCGCCGGUGAAACGUGCCACCAUCACCAACAACCCUAUCUGUCAGCCGCCGCCGUUCUCUGGACAAUCGAUGCCACAACUACCGCCAGCCAAUCCAGCCGCUACCAUCGGCGUAAAUAGAGGCAAGCGGAAUGAGGCCCUCAUAUAAUGUCGGCCCCCUUUAUUGUACUAUGUUGUUAUUUUUUUUUGAUGUUCAACUGUUUUCCUUUUAAUUCACGGUUCCUUAAUUUCAAACUAGUGCUUUAGAAAAAAAAAUUAGUCUUAUUUUUGUUUUCAAAUUAUUAAUAUUUUCCAUGAUUAUUGAAUGCAAAUUUUGAAUUUUAUAUUUACUCUUAAGUAGAUUCGAUGCAAAAAUUAUGUUGGAAAAGCUGCAAAAUAGACGGGUUGUAUUUAUUGGGGAUUCAAUUGGAAGAAACCCGUGGGAGUCUCAUCUGCUUGUUGUCUUCUGCAAUUCCUUAUAAAAGCAAGAUAUAUGAAGUUAAUAGAAGUUCUAUUACAAAGCACACAGGUUUCUUAUUUUUGUUUUCAAAUUAUUAAUUUCUAAUACUAAUGAAUAUAUUACCUAAUUGAACUACUCCAAUCAGCUCCUUAACUAGUUCAAUCAAAAAAAUAAAAAACUAACCAACACUAGCACACAAUGACAACAAUAUCCAUAUAUUUUGGAACAUAUACAUUGCAUCAACUGAUCAUAAUACUGAAAGGAUGAAAACAAAUACUAUCAAAAAUUACAAAACAAAUAUACUAGAAAAACAUUCUGGAGCCAGUGAUUCUUUUAUUAUGGAAAAAAACAAACAUCAAGCAACUAAUAGUUAACACUUCUGUUUAUUUUUCCCAAUUUCAAUUUUGUUCCAUUUUCACAUAGAAACCACAGAACUUGGAUUGACAUGAAAUGUGAAUUAAUUACUUGAAAAUGGUUAAGUGUAAUGACUUGAAAUGUGAAUUAGUUAUUUGAAAAUGGUUAAGUGUAGUGACUUGAAAUGUGUACUAGUUAUUUGAAAAUGGUUUAGUGUAGUUACUUGAAAAUGGUUAAGUAUAUUGACUUGAAAUGUCAAUUAGCUAUUUGAAAAUGGUUUGAGUGUAGUGACUUGAAAUGUGUACUAGUGACUUGAAAUGUGAAUAAGUUAUUUAAAAAUUAUUAAGUGUAGUGACUUGAAAAUGAUGAAGUGUAGUUACUUGAAAUUGAGAACUUGUGACUUGAAAAUGAUUAAGUAUAGUGACUUGAAAUCUGUACUAGUGACUUGAAAAUGGUUAGGUUUAGUUACUUAAAAGUGGAUACAUAUAGUGACUUGCAAUGUGAAUUAGUUAUUUGAAAAUGAUUAAGUGUAGUGACUUGAAAUGUGUACUAGUGACUUGAAAAUUGUUACUACGUAUAGUUAUUUGAAAAUGGUUAAGUAUAGUGACUUAAAAAUGUGAAUUAGUUAAUUGAAAAUAGUUAAGUGUAGUGAUUUGAAAUGCUAGUACAUGACUUGAAAAUGGUUAAGUAUAGUGACUUGAGAUGUCAAUUAGCUAUUUAAAAAUGGUUAGAGUGUAGUGACUUGAAAUGUGAAUAAGUUAUUUGAAAAUUAUUAAGUGUAGUGACUUGAAAAUAGUGUAGUGUGGUUACUUGAAAUUGUAAACUUGUGACUUAAAAACGGUUACUAGUGACUUGAAAAUAGUUAAGUGUAGUUACUUAGAAUGUGAAUUAUUUACUUGAAAGUGGUUAAGUAUAGUGAUUUGAAAUGAAUGAUUAAGUGUAGUGACUUGAAAAUGGUUAAGUAUAGUUAUUUUAAAUGUAAAGUAGUUAUUUGAAAAUGGUUAAGUGUAGUGACUUGAAACGUGAAUUACUUAUUUGAAAAUGGUUAAGUGUAGUGACUUGAAAUAUGUACUAGUGACUUGAAAAUGGUUGAAGUGUAGUUACUUGAAAAUGCUUAAGUAUAGUGACUUGAAAUGUUAAUUAGCUAUUUGAAAAUGGUUUGAGUGUAGUGACUUGAAAUGUGUACUAGUGAAUAAGUUAUUUAAAAAUUAUUAAUUGUAGUGACUUGAAAAUGAUUAAGUGUAGUUACUUGAAAUUGUGAACUUGUGACUUGAAAAUGGUUAAGUGUAGUUACUUGAAAUUGUGAACUUGAUGCUUGAAAAUGGCUAAGUGUAGUUACUUGAAAUGUGUACUAAUAACUUUAAAAAAAUAAAGUAUAGUCACUUGAAAAUGAUUAAGUAUAUUGACUUGAAAUGUGAUUUAGUUAAUUGAAAAUAGUUAAGUGUAGUGAUUUGAAAUGUGUACUAGUAACUUGAAAAUAUUCUACGUGUGGUGACUUGCAAUGUUAAUUAGUUAUUUGAAAAUGGUUAAGUGUAGUUACUUGAAAUGUAUAUUAGUUAUUUGAAAAUGAUUAAGUAUAGUGAAAUAAAAUGUCAAUUAGAUAUUUGAAAAUGGUUUAAGUAUAGUAUCUUGAAAUGUAUACUAGUAACUUGAAAAUAUUAAGUGUAGUCACAUGAAAUAUGAACUAAUGACUUGAUUUUUAUAUGUUUUGAUGUAAGAGCUCGAAGUCAACUGCUAAAAAGAAAUCUCAGACACCUGUAGACUCCAAUGAAAAAACUUUAGGAUUGUUUAAGUGUUUUGGUGGUUGUUGGAUUAAUUAUUAAGUAUUUUGUAUUUUGGAUUGUUGUUGAUUUGAAUUACUUGAAUGUUUUGAUAAUGUUGUGCGUUGUAUGAUUAUUUUAGAAAUGUGUGUUGCAUAAGGCUGUAUAUAUUGAAUUGCAUUUUUAUUUGGCAGGUGGAAUGCAAAAAAUGCAGAUUUUUGCAUCAAAAAAAAAUACAGAAAAGCGACGGACAUGAUCCUUUUCAUCCGUCGCUUUUCUGAAAUUUUUUAAAAUAAAAUUUUUAAAAAGCCACGGCCAACGUCGCUUUUUUUCUUCAUUAUGAAGAACAAAAAGCGACGACCAAUGUUGCUUUUUUUUCUUCAUUAUGAAGAACAAAAUGCGACGGCCAACUUCACUUUUUUUCUUUAUUAAGAAGAACAAAAUGCGACGGCCAACGUCGCUUUUUGUCUUCACUAUGAAAAAAAAAUAUUUUUCUCAAAAUACGAUGGACAAUGUCCUUUUUUUUUUAAUCUUUCCUUCAAUAAAACGAUGUUAUGCGUCGUUUUUUGUUCAUCAUGUGUUCUUCACAUGAAGAACCAAAAACGACGCACAGCGUCACUUUUUCUAAAAAAAAGUAACUUGAUUUUUUUUUCAAAAAGAGACGCUCUCCGUCGUAAUAAAAGCGACACAUGCCGUUGUUUUCAAAAAACAACGCCCCUUUUUUAGACGAAAAAAAAGCGACGGAUUUUCGUCGAUUUUGCCCAAAACAGCGACGCUGGCCGUCGCUUUUUGGCAUUUUUUUAGUAGUGUUACUUCAUUUUUGAAGUGUAUAUGAUAGCAGUGCGUAAUAUGUCAGAAAGAAGACAAGUGAUUGAAUGCACGAAUAUAUGCGUGGAGGGACAAUGUGAUAAUGAUCAUCAAAAGUGAUGAUAUUUUCACACGCGAAUUAUGAUCAUAAGAUAUGUUAGAGAAAAAUUCUCUAGAUCAUAUGCCUCGAUUUGCUCCUGAAGUAGCAAUAUCAUAAAAAAGGUUAUAAGCUAUCAAUUUGAUAGGCUUAAGACACAAUUAUAUUUCAUUCAUGGGAAUGAGAAUUUUAAUUUUUAUAAGCAUAGAUCCAUUCCCUUAGUGAAUGUGAUGAUAUUUAGUGAAGCUUAUCGACAAACGUGAACUUGAUUGUGAUGGCUUCACAACCCACCUCUGGAUGAGGCAGAACAAACGAUAAGAGUUAUUUUGAAAUCAUCGAGAAGAGUUAUUUUGAAAUCUACUUCUAAAGUAGUAAAUCUGAAAUUUAUUCAUGUAAUAGUAAAUCUGAAAUUUACCAAAGUAAAAAAGUACAUGUCAUGGUAAACUUGGAGUUUGCUAGAAUAAAAGUUCAUAAGUUGACAUGAACGAUUAUGACAUCCUGAAGAUGUGCAUAUUGAGUAUUGGACAUGUAAUGAAGAAUUAGAAAAUUCUUUAAGAAUUAUUCAUGUUGUUUGUUCUCAUGAUAAGUUGGUUGGGCCAACUAAUUAUUGAAUUGGAUCCCUCAAGAUCUGAAAAAUAUAAAAGGUGAAUAAGGGCCCGUUCACCUUUCAUGUGAUAUAUUAAAAAAAAUACAUUAAUAAGAUAAUCACAUGUACAUUUAUUGUCAACCUGUAGUUUGACAUUCAUUAAGUUGUUUGCUCAAUAAAAUAGAGUUAAGCGCAUAACUUACAGAUUGUGCAGUCAAGACAAUUCAUCUUGAUGAAAAUGGUUUGGAAUUGAAUGCCUUUAAUAAAUAGCUAAACCAUUGUUGAUGAGAACAAAGCUUCAUGUAUUCGUCUGAAAUAUGAUAUGUUGUAUACAAUAACACUUGUAUGCAUUAGACCAAUAAAUUAUGAUUAUUUCUUCCUUCUCAAUUGGUUCAAGGCCAGGAACCAACUAUUCCAUCUAAUAGUUUUGAUGUACGGUAUACGAUUAAUGAAUAUACCAUGAUGCGCAAAGAUAGAGGAUGUGUGUUAGUUUUUCUAACAGAAGGGGAAGAUUAUAAGCAGCUAUGAAAUAUGUUAGGAAUUAUCAUCAGAUCCUCAUUCAAAAGAUAAUUCAAGUCGAAUGCCGAACGCAUCUUAUAUUUAAGCUGCAAGUGCUCUUAUUUUGUGUUCAUAAAGGACAAAGUCUACGCAUACAUGAAGCAUGAUAGACUAAUCUAUUUCAAAUGAAAUAAUCUUUGAAAAAUAAAGAGCAAAUAAUCAUAAUUAGAAGGUAAUAUGCUCUUGAAAAGCCUAUGACAUAACACUUCAUGAAACCUUAUGAGAAGUUCAGGUACCAGAAAAUAAUGAAGUGAUGGGAUCUCAAAAUGUUAUGUCAUACUGUGAACCGAUAUGAAAUGAUAUAUCAUCAAUAAUAUCUUUGAUACAAUAUUGGUGCAAUAUUAUAAAGUAUUACGAGAAUCCGAAUUCUACGUUUAUUUAAGUAUGCUGACAUAGAAAUGUUUAUCAAGUGACACGAAAGAAUGAAUUUUGGUAAGUAUAAAAAUUAUUUGAUUUGUAGUCCAGACACUUGAAGAUGUCACACUUGACAUUUUGGAUAUUGUCACUUGACAAAAAUCCAUAUGAAAAUCUCUAAAGGAUUCAAAAUGCCUGAAGCAUAUAAAGUUUCUGGGGAAUUUUUAAUUAUCCUUAUAAGAGAUAAUUUGAUGAUUUGAGUAUUAUUGGAACUCUUGGAGAGUUUUCAAAAGCAAUAGAAUUUUUACUUAAAUGAGAAACAUAAUAAGGAUCUAUUCUGACCUCAAAAAAAGAAUGAGGAACUCCUUGGUUAUGAAGUACAAUAUCUUAGUGCAAUUGAUGUACUCAUGUAUCUUGCAAAUACUAUAAGACCUGAUAUAGCUCUUUUCAAUUAAUUUGUUAGCAAGUUUGUAGUCCCGAUCUUAUUGAUCAUAUUGAUGUUGGGCACUUAUCUGACCUAUAUAAAGCUUGGUCUCAAAUAGGCUAUAUGUUCAUAUGUGGUGGUACUGCCAUAUCUUGGAGAUCAACAAAGUAGUCUAUCGUAGCCACUUUAUCGAAUCACGCUGAGAUUAUAGCUAUUCACGAAGCAAGCCGAGAGUGUGUGUGGUUGAGGUCCAUAAUACAUCUCAUUCGAGAAAAAUGUGGCUUGAAAUGUGAUAAAUUACCCACGAUUUUAUAUGGAGAUAAUGCAGCAUGCAUAGCAGAACUUAAGGGAGGAUUCAUAAAAGGAGAUAGAACGAAACACACUUCAUCAAAGCUUUUCUACAUGCAUGAGCUCCAAAAGAAUGGUGAAAGUUACAUGUAAUAGAUUCGUUCAAAUGACAAUGUGAUUGAUUUAUUCAUCAAGUCUCCUCCAAUUGCAACUUUCAAGAAGAUGGUGCACAAGAUCGGGAUGCAAAGGUCCAAGGAUGUUCUCAUUAUGUGGAGUUAAUACGCACUGUACUCUUUUUCCCUUAUGAGAUUUUGUCCCAUUGAGUUUUCCUUGUAAGGUUUUUAAUGAGGCAGCUUAUAUGAGUAUUGUUAGAGAUGCGUACUCUUUUUCCUUCACUAGAUUUUUUUCCACUGGGUUUUUUUCUAGUAAGGUUUUAACGAGACACAUUAUCUAUCAAUUAGACAUUCAAGGGAGAGUGUUAUAAAUGUACCAUAUAUAGUGAAUAUCUACUUUAGCAUAUAUAGUGAAUACCUACUUUACCAUAUAUUGUGUAUGUUUAUUUAUGGAAAAGUUACAAACUCCAAGGUUAGUUUUCCCCUAUAAGUAAAAGGGUUUUGCUUCAUUGUAAUUCAUCCCAUCAAGACACCUCUCAAGUGAAGAGAAAUAAGAAUUACUCUCUAUUCUCUAUUCUUCUUCUUCUUCUUUGCUUUAUGUUUUAUAACACAUUAUAUGAAAAAAAUGAAUAAUGCACUAAAAUAAUGCACUAUAUAAAAUAAAUUAGAUAAUGCACUAUAUGAAAAAAAAAUGAAUAAUGCAUAAAAGUGGACUAUCCACUUUUAACAUUGGUAACCUAUUCGUUAAAAAAAAACAUAUAAUGCACUAAACCUAUUCUAAUUACCUUUUAUAUCAAUAGCAUAUUUAUGUCCUUUUUAAAAAUUUACUGAAAUAUUUUAGUUAAGAACUCUAUGCAGAUUUACCCAUGAAUGAUAUAUCCAUUCACUGUUGGGGGUUAUUGAAAAAAGUAAAAAGAAUACCUGAAGCUUGGAUUCAAGGAAAGCAAGAAAGGUGGCAGGAAUAUUCCUCUGAUGCCACCUCCAUCUAUGCUCAAAAUUGUAAUUAUCUUUCCUGUUGCAGCAGCAGAAGCUAUUGGAGUUGGUAAAACUUGAAGGGUCAGUAAUAAAGUUUGUGCAGCUACACAAACUCUACUCAUAAUGUUCCAAGCGCAUAUGUUUGUGAUAUAGUUGGAAGAGAAGAGGUACUUCGAAACCCCUUAUUCAUACUCUUAAAUUUCCUUUAUUCUAAGA
rnacentral:lncRNA from 1 species